GCUGAAUUGGGGCCAGUAGGCGGAGGAAUAAGAAGGGUGAAAAAGUUAGUGGGAAUGACGGGGCGUAAAGGGUGCGUAGACGGUAUGUUAAGUUUGUUGUUAAAGGCUCCGGCCGAACUGGAGUAUCGCGAUGAAAACUGGCGUACUAGAGGGUGAGAGAGAGAAGUGGAAUUCCUGGAGUAGCGGUAAAAUGCGUGGAUCUCAGGAGGAACACCAAUGGCGAAGGCAGCUUCUUGGCUCAUACCUGACGUUGAGGCACGAAAGCGUGGGGAGCAAACAGGAUUAGAUACCCUAGUAGUC
rnacentral:rRNA from 1 species